AGUGAACGCUGGCGGUAGGCCUAACACAUGCAAGUCGAACGGCAGCACAGUAAGAGCUUGCUCUUACGGGUGGCGAGUGGCGGACGGGUGAGGAAUACAUCGGAAUCUACUUUUUCGUGGGGGAUAACGUAGGGAAACUUACGCUAAUACCGCAUACGACCUACGGGUGAAAGCAGGGGAUCUUCGGACCUUGCGCGAUUGAAUGAGCCGAUGUCGGAUUAGCUAGUUGGCGGGGUAGAGGCCCACCAAGGCGACGAUCCGUAGCUGGUCUGAGAGGAUGAUCAGCCACACUGGAACUGAGACACGGUCCAGACUCCUACGGGAGGCAGCAGUGGGGAAUAUUGGACAAUGGGCGCAAGCCUGAUCCAGCCAUACCGCGUGGGUGAAGAAGGCCUUCGGGUUGUAAAGCCCUUUUGUUGGGAGAGAAAAGCAGCAGGUUAAUACCCCGCUGUUCUGACGGUACCCAAAGAAUAAGCACCGGCUAACUUCGUG
rnacentral:rRNA from 1 species